rnacentral:rRNA from 1 species
AUUGAACGCUGGCGGCGUGCCUAACACAUGCAAGUCGAACGAGUGGCGGACGGGUGAGUAAUGUCUGGGAAACUGCCUGAUGGAGGGGGAUAACUACUGGAAACGGUAGCUAAUAACGCAUCCCAUCGGCUGUGCCCUGGUGGGAUUAGCGAGUAGGUGGGGUAAAGGCUCACCUAGGCGACGAUCCCUAGCUGGUCUGAGAGGAUGACCGGCCACACGGGAACUGGGACACGGUCCAGACUCCUACGGGAGGCAGCAGGGGGGAAUAUGGGACAAUGGGCGCAAGCCGUAUGCAGCCAUGCCGCGUGUAUGAAGAAGGCCUUCGGGUUGUAAAGUACGUUCAGCGGGGAGGCGUUACCCGCAGAAGAAGCACCGGCUAACUCCGUGCCAGCAGCCGCGGUAAUAC